CUUUAUUCUAUUUUUUAAUUUUUAUAUGGUGCCGAGGAUCAAACCCAGUGCCUCACCCAUGCUAGGCAAGUGCUCUACCACUGAGCCACAUCCCCGGCACAAAAAUAGACCAUAUCUUAUGCCACAAAGCAACUCUUUGUAAAUACAAAGAAACAGAGAUAAUACCCUGCAUUCUGUCAGACCACAAUGGAAUGAAAUUAGAAAUCAAUGAUAAAAUAAAAAAAUAGAAGCUACUGUAACAAAUGGAGACUAAAUAAUACACAAUUGAAUGAUGAAUGGAUAGUAGAAGAAGAAAUCAAGGAUGAAAUUAAAAAAUUCUGAGAGGUAAAUGUGAACACUGAUACAACAUAUCAAAAUCUCUGGAACACUAUAAAGGCAGUACUACUAAGAGGAAAGUUUAUUGCAUUGAGUGCAUUCAUUAAAAGAAUAAAAAGUCAACAAAUAAAUGACCUAACACUACAUCUCAAAGCCCUAGGGGGCAAAAAAAAAGAACAAAUCAACACCAAUAGCAGUAGACAACAGGCAAUAAUUAAAAUCAGCGCUAAAAUUAAUGAAAUCAAAACAAAAGAAACAAUUGAAAAAUUGACAAAACAAAAAGUUGGUUCUGAAAAAGUAAAUAAAAUAGAUAAACUCCUGGCUAUGCUAAUGAAGAGAAAAAGAAAAAACUCAAAUUACUAAAAUACAAGAUGAAGAAGGAAAUAUCACAAUGGACACAUAUGAAAUACAGAGUUAAUCAGAAACUAUUUCAAAAAAUGUAUACUCUAAUAAAAUAGAAAAUAUCAGAGACAUUGACAAAUAUCUAGAGACAUAUGACCUACCCAAACUGAAUGAGGAGGUCAUACAUGGUUUAAACAGAUCAAUUUCAAGUGAUAAAAUAGGAAAUGCCAUCAAAAGCCUACCAACUGGGCUGGGGUUGAGGCUCAGUGAUAGAGCGCUUGCCUAGCAUGUGCAAGGCCCUGGGUUUGAUCCUCAGCACCACAUAAAAGAGAAAAUAAAAUAAAGGUAUUGUAUACAACUUAAAAAAAAAAAAAAAAAGCCUACCAAUGAAGAAAAGCCUGGGACCACAUGGAUUCUUAGACAAGUUCUACAAGACUUUCAAAGAGAAAUUAACACCAAUACUCCUCAAAGUAUUCCAUGAAAUAGAAAAGGAGGGAACCCUUUCAAACUCAUUAUCUGAGGCUAAUAUCACCCUGAUACCAAAACCAGACAAAGGAAAGAAAACUUUAGACCAAUAUCCAUGAUGAACACAGAUGCAAAAAUUCUAAUACAAUUCUGGCAAAUCACAUACAAAAACAUAUUAAAAAGAUAGUGCACCAUGAUCUACUGGGAUUCAUCCCAGGGAUGCAGGGUUGGUUCAACAUAUGGAAAUCAAUAAACAUUAUUCAUCAUAUUAAUAGACUUAAAAACAAAAAUCGUAUGAUCAUCUCAAUAGAUUCAGAAAUGCAUUUGACAAAAUACAGCACACCUUUCAUGUUGAAAACACUAGAAAAACUAGGGAUAGUAGGAACAUCUCAACAUUGGAAAAGCUAUAUAUGCUAAACCCAAGGCCAGCAUCAUCUUAAAUGGAGAAAAAUUGAAAGCAUUCCCGCUAAAAACUGGAAAAAGCAAGGAUGUCCUCUUUCACCACUUCAACAUCAUCCUUGAAAUUCUAACUAGAGCAAUUAGACAACAGAAAUAAAUUAAAGGGAUACCAAUAGGUAAAGAAGAACUCAAACUAUCACUAUUUGCUGAUCACAUGAUUCUAUAUCUAGAAGCCAAACAAAUCCACCAUAAAACUUCUAGGACUAAUAAAUGAAUUCAGCAAAGUAGCAGGAUAUAAAAUCAACACCCAUAAAUCAAAUGCAUUCCAAUACACCAGUGAUGAAUCCACUGAAAGAUAAAUUAGGAAAAUUACUCCAUUCCCAAUGGCCUAAAAAUAAAUAAAUAAAUAAACAAACAAACAAAUAAAUAAAUAAAAUACCUGGGAAUCAAUCUAACAAAAGAUGUGAAAUACCUCUACAAUGGAAACUACAGAACACUAAAUAAAUAAACUGAAGAAAACCUCAGAAGAUGGAAAGAUCUCCCAUGUUCCUGGAUAGGCAUAAUUAAUAUUGUCAAAAUGGCCAUGCGGGCUGGGGAUGUGGCUCAAGCGGUAUCGCGCUCUCCUGGCAUGCAUGCUGCCCGGGUUCGAUCCUCAGCCCCACAUACAAACAAAGAUGUUGUGUCUGCUGAGAACUAAAAAAUAAAUAUUUGAAAAAAAAAUGGCCAUGCUAACAAAAGUGUUAUAUACAGAUUUAGUGCAAUUCCUAUUAAAAUCCCAAUGAUGAAUAUUCUUCAUAGAAAUAGAAAAAGCAAUCAUGAAAUUUCUUUGGAAAAAUAGAGAUCCAGAAUAGCUAAAGCAAUCCUUAGUAAGAAAAGUGAAGCAGGAGGCAUCACAAUACCAGAUUUUAAACUAUACUGCAGAGCUAUAGUAACAAAUACAGCAGGGUAUUGGCACCAAGUAGACUUGUAGACCAAUGGUACAGAACAGAGGACAAAGAGACAAACCCAUAUAAAUACAGUUUUCUCAGACAAGGGUGCCAAAAACAUUCACUGGAGAAAAGAUAGCCUAUUCAACAAAUGGUGCUGGCAAAACUGGAAAUCCAUGUGUAGCAAAAUGAAAUUAAACCUCUCUCAUCCUGCACAAAAAUCAACUCAAAGUGUAUCAAAGACUUAGGCACUAGAACAGAUUCUGCGCCUAGCAGAAGAAAAAAAUAGGCCCAAAUCUUCACCAUUUCGGCCUAGGAUCUGACUUCCUUAACAAGACUCCUAAAGUGCAAGAAGUAAAACCAAGAAUCAAUAAAUGGGAUGAAUUCAAAUUAAAAAGCUUCUUCUCAGCAAAGGAAAAAAUAACGUGAGGAGAGAGCUUACAGAUUGGGAGAAAAUCUUUACCACAUGCACCUCUGCUAAAGCAUUAAUCUCUAGGAUAUAUAAAGAACUGAAAAAACUUAACACCAAAAAAUAAAUAAAUAAAUAACCCAAUCAAUAAAUAGGCUAAGGAACUGAACAGACACUUCACAGAAGAAUACAACUGAUCAACAAAAAAUGAAAAAGUGUUGAACAUCUCUAUCAAUUAGAGAAAUGAAAAUCAAAACUACACAAAGAUUUCAUCUCACUCCUGUUAGAAUGGCAAUCAUCAAGAAUACAGGUUAACAAUCAAUGUUGGUGAGGAUGUGGUGAAAAAGGUCCACUCAUACAUUGCUGGUGGCUACAAACUGGUGCAACCACUAUGGAAAACAGUAUGGAGAUUUCUCAGAAAACUGGGAAUGGAACCACCAUUUGACCUAGCUAUCCCACUCCUUCGUUUAUACCCAAAGAACUUAAAAUCAGCAUACUAUAAUGAUUCAGCCACAAUAAUGUUUAUAAGCAGCUCAAUUCACAAUAGCUAGAUUGUUGGACCAACGUAGGUGUCCCUCAAUGGAUGAAUGGAUAAAGGAAAUGUGGUAUAUAUACUCAAUGGAAUAUUACUCAGCUUUAAAGAAGAGUAAAAUUAUGGCAUAUGCAAGUAAAUGGUUGGAGUUGGAGAAUAUCAUGCUAAGUGAAAUAAGUUAAUCCCACAAAACCAAAGGCCGAAUGUUUUCUCUAAUAUGUGGAUGCUAUUAGAUGGUGGGGGCACUAGGGAAGAAUAGUGUUACCUUAGAUUUGGUGGAGGGAAGUGAUGGGACAGGAAAGAUAGUAGGAUGAAACAGAUAUUAUUACUAUAUGUAUAUAUGUGACUGCAUGACCAAUAUGAUUCUGCAAUAAUGUACACUCAGAAAAAGGAGAAAUUAUAUCCUAUCUAAGUAUGACAUAUCAAAGUGCAUAAAUACAUUCUACUGUCAUGUAUAACUAAAACAAAAAAAAUUUUAAAAGAAAUAUAUAUGUAAGGGGGUUUGAACUGGACAUGGUGGCACGUGCCAGUAACACCAGCUACUUGGGAGGUUUUAGCAGGAGGACUGAAAGUUUCGGCACAGACAUAUCAAAUGAUAUGGAUUAAAUAAUUUGCUCAGGCCAUUUCUGUCCAAACACAAUAUAAUAAAACAGCUUUUCUAGGGGGCUGGGAUUGUGGCUCAGCAGUAGAGCAUUUGCCUAGCAUGGGUGGGACCUGGGUUCGAUUCUCAGCACCACAUAAAAAUAAAGGCUUUGUAUUGUGUCCAUCUACACCUAAG
rnacentral:lncRNA from 1 species